rnacentral:rRNA from 1 species
GACGAACGCUGGCGGCGUGCCUAAUACAUGCAAGUCGAACGCAUUUUCUUUCACCGUAGCUUGCUACACCGACAGAAAAUGAGUGGCGAACGGGUGAGUAACACGUGGGUAACCUGCCCAUCAGCGGGGGAUAACACUUGGAAACAGGUGCUAAUACCGCAUAAUUCCAUUUACUGCAUGGUAGAUGGAUGAAAGGCGCUUUUGCGUCACUGAUGGAUGGACCCGCGGUGCAUUAGCUAGUUGGUGGGGUAACGGCCUACCAAGGCUGCGAUGCAUAGCCGACCGGAGAGGGUGAUCGGCCACACUGGGACUGAGACACGGCCCAGACGCCUACGGGAGGCAGCAGUAGGGAAUCUUCGGCAAUGGACGCAAGUCUGACCGAGCAACGCCGCGUGAGUGAAGAAGGUUUUCGGAUCGUAAAACUCUGUUGUUAGAAAAGAACAAGGAUGAGAGUGGAAAGUUCAUCCCUUGACGGUAUCUAACCAGAAAGCCACGGCUAACUACGUG